AAGCGGCAAAAGCUCAAAUUUGAAAUCUGGUACCUUUCGGUGCCCGAGUUGUAAUUUGGAGAAAGUGAUUCUGGGACUGGCCCUUGCCUAUGUUCCUUGGAACAGGACGUCAUAGAGGGUGAGAACCCCGUGAGGCGAGGUGAUCCAGUUCUUUGUAGAACGCUUUCGAAGAGUCGAGUUGUUUGGGAAUGCAGCUCUAAGUGGGUGGUAAAUUCCAUCUAAAGCUAAAUACAGGCGAGAGACCGAUAGCGAACAAGUACAGUGAUGGAAAGAUGAAAAGAACUUUGAAAAGAGAGUGAAAAAGGACGUGAAAUUGUUGAAAGGGAAGGGCAUUUGAUCAGACAUGGUGUUUUGUGCCCCUCGCUCCUCGUGGGUGGGGGAAUCUCGCAGCUCACUGGGCCAGCAUCAGUUUUGGCGGCAGGAUAAAUCUCUGGGAAUGUGGCUUCUUUCUUCGGGAGGGAGUGUUAUAGCCCAGGGGAAUACUGCCAGCUGGGACUGAGGUAUGCGACA
rnacentral:rRNA from 1 species